UGUAAAUGGUGUGUGGAGCAGUUAUCUGGGACACAGAUAGCUCUAGGUGAUCUCUGAGUGCCACUCAGCACAUUAAACACCGCGAGGGUGACCCAAGCCUGGACUGGCAUGAGCGUCUGUGUGUGAUUGGAUGGAUUUUUGAGAAAGAGGAAUUCGCCUGAUUUCAGAAGACCACUCUGUGAACAGCUGUGUAUCAGGAUGUCUCUCUAUGGGGGUG
rnacentral:lncRNA from 1 species